rnacentral:rRNA from 1 species
UAACGAGUUGAACGGGGUUGUAGCUGGCCUUCACGGGCAUGUGCACACCUCACUCAUCCACUCUACACCUGUGCACUUACUGUGGGUUUCGAGAGGCCGCGCUUGCGUGGUUGAUCGGGCUCACGUCUAUUACAAACUCUUCAGUAUCAGAAUGUGUAUCGCGAUGUAACGCAUCUAUAUACAACUUUCAGCAACGGAUCUCUUGGCUCUCGCAUCGAUGAAGAACGCAGCGAAAUGCGAUAAGUAAUGUGAAUUGCAGAAUUCAGUGAAUCAUCGAAUCUUUGAACGCACCUUGCGCUCCUUGGUAUUCCGAGGAGCAUGCCUGUUUGAGUGUCGUGUAAUUCUCAACCUAUAAAUCCUUGUGGUUUUUAGGCUUGGACUUGGAGGCUUUUGCUGGCUUUACCGUCGGCUCCUCUUAAACGCAUUAGCUUGAUUCCUUGCGGAUCGGCUCUCAGUGUGAUAAUUAUCUGCGCUGUGACCGUGAAGCGUUUGGCGAGCUUCUAACCGUCUCUUCGAGACAAACACUUUGACAUCUGACCUCAAAUCAGGUAGGACUACCCGCUGAACUUAAGCAUAUCAAUAAGCGGAGGAAAAGAAACUAACAAGGAUUCCCCUAGUAACUGCGAGUGAAGCGGGAAGAGCUCAAAUUUAAAAUCUGGCGGUCUUUGGCCGUCCGAGUUGUAGUCUGGAGAAGUGCUUUCCGCGCUGGACCGUGUACAAGUCUCUUGGAACAGAGCGUCAUAGAGGGUGAGAAUCCCGUCUUUGACACGGACUACCAGUGCUUUGUGAUGCGCUCUCAAAGAGUCGAGUUGUUUGGGAAUGCAGCUCAAAA